rnacentral:lncRNA from 1 species
GCAGGCAGUCCAUGGACUUGUGUCAACUUGAAUUGCUUCCUCCAGAGAUGAGCAAAUGCCAUAAUUAUGACCUCAAGCCAGCAAAGUGGGAUACUUCUCAAGAGCAUCAGAAACAAAGAUCUGCACUCCCUACCAGCCGACCUGGAGAGAAUGGUAUCAUAAGACGAAGGUCUUCUAUAGAAGAACUCAAAAUAUCUCCACUGUUCGUUGUUCGAGUCCUUGUUGCAGCCAUGACCAUUCGCUUCACCGUUAUCACAUUGACAUGGCUUGCUGUUUUCAUAACUUUGUUAUGCAACAAGGAAGUUUCAGUUUCCUCAAGAGAGGGCUACUGUGGCCCAUGCCCUAACGACUGGAUAUGUCACAGAAACAACUGUUACCAAUUUUUUAAUGAGAACAAAGCCUGGAACCAGAGCCAAGCUUCCUGUUUGUCUCAAAAUUCCAGCCUGCUGAAGAUAUACAGUAAAGAAGAACAGGAUUUCUUAAAGCUGGUUAAGUCCUAUCACUGGAUGGGACUAGUCCAGAGCCCAGCAAAUGGCUCCUGGCAGUGGGAAGAUGGCUCCUCUCUAUCACCCAACGAGUUAACACUGGUGAAAACACCAAGCGGAACCUGUGCUGUCUAUGGCUCAAGCUUUAAGGCCUACACAGAAGACUGUUCAAAUCCAAACACAUACAUCUGUAUGAAAAGGGCAGUGUAAAGAUUUCAUUAACCGUCUCACAGAAACAGCCAGGACAAGAGAAUUGUCCCAGGAGAAACUGGAACUAAUGAGACUCAACAUAAGACAAACAUAAAAGAACAGUACUGCGCCCUCCACAGAACUAAUAGUUGGACAUAUCGUGUCCGGUAAAACAAGGGGAGCCUGUGGGGCCAAGGAACUAUGAGGCAGGGGAUGGAGGGAGCAAGAGGACUAAGAGUUUGGUUGAGGCCUAUCCAAACCCGGGAAAUCUGGCCCUGCCCUACUGGAGGAGGCCUUGUUGCCCAGUAGACUCUCCCUUAUAAGAUCAAGUCUAUCAACACCUGGAAUUCUUCCAAGAUAUCCCCUACACACUCCCUAAAAGUUUAAAUAGCCCCUUUCCCCCCAAUUAAAUGACCUAUCUUAUUCAAGAUGCCUC